rnacentral:rRNA from 1 species
CAAUAGCGUAUAUUAAAGUUGUUGCAGUUAAAAAGCUCGUAGUCGGAUUUCGGGUCGGGCCGAGCGGUCUGCCGAUGGGUAUGCACUGUUUGGCGCGGCCUUCUUUCCGGAGACCGCGGCUACUCUUAACUGAGCGGGCGUGGGAGACGGAUCGUUUACUUUGAAAAAUCAGAGUGUUUCUAGCAGGCAGCUCGCUCUUGCAUAGGUUAGCAUGGAAUAAUAAGAUAGGACUUUGGAACUAUUUUGUUGGUUUGCGUUACAAAGUAAUGAUUAAUAGGGACAGUUGGGGGUAUUCGUAUUUCGUUGUCAGAGGUGAAAUUCUUGGAUUUCCGAAAGACGAACUACUGCGAAAGCAUUUACCAAGGAUGUUUUCAUUAAUCAAGAACGAAAGUUAGGGGAUCGAAGACGAUCAGAUACCAU